rnacentral:rRNA from 1 species
CGGCGGACGGGUGAGUAACACGUGGGUAACCUACCUAUAAGACUGGGAUAACUUCGGGAAACCGGAGCUAAUACCGGAUAAUAUUUCGAACCGCAUGGUUCGAUAGUGAAAGAUGGUUUUGCUAUCACUUAUAGAUUGACCUGCGCCGUAUUAGCUAGUUGGUAAGGUAACGGCUUACCAAGGCGACGAUACGUAGCCGACCUGAGAGGGUGAUCGGCCACACUGGAACUGAUACACGGUCCAGACUCCUACGGGAGGCAGCAGAU